CUCGCUUGGUAGCCCAUUCUGGCCUCGAACUCACAGAGAUCCGCCUGGCUCUGCCUCCCAAGUGCUGGGAUUAAAGGCGUGCGCCACCACCGCCCGGCAACACAGCAACUCUUAUAAAGGGAAAUCAUUUAAUUGGGGUGGCUUACAGUUCAGAGGUUCAGUCAUCAUGGUGAGACAUGGCAGCAUGUAGGCAGAUAUGGUACUGGUGAGGUAGCUGAGAGUUCUAUGGGGGCCAAUUCUAACUACCACAUUCUACUCCCUGGCCCCAUAAGCUUUUCAUUUCAUAUUAACCAUUAACAUUCAUAAGUAACCAUUUCAUAAUGUGAAAUGUAUUUAGUCCAACUUCAAAGUCCCUGUAGUUUAUCACAGUCUCAGGAGUGUUUUAAAGUGGAAAGUUCAAAGUCUCUUCUAAGAUUCAUGUAAUAUCGUAACUGUAAUCCCCUGUAAAAUAAAAAUAAAAAAACAGACCAUACACUUUUAACAUAUAAUGGCACAUAUACAUUACCAUUCCAAAAUGCAGGGAAGGUAGCAUAAUGAUGAAAUAUUGGACCAAAGCAAGAUCAAAAACCAGCUGGGCAAACUCCGGAUUCUGCAUCUCCAUGUCUGAUGUCAAAGUGCUCUUCAGAUCUCCAACUCCUUUCAGCUUUGUUGACUGUAAUACACUUCUUUCUCUUGGGCUGGUUCCACUCCUUUAGCAGGUAUCCCAUGGCUCCGGCAUCUCUAACAUCUUGGGGUCUCCAAGGUAAUCCAGGCUUCUCCUUCACAUCUUCACACAAUGGCCUCUCUGGGCCUCCAUGCAGGAACACUUCUGACAUAUGCCUGGCCUCAGGGGAUUUCCUUAUUCUGGAGGAAUAUUCCGUAACUCCUUUCUUCCAUCCUUGACUCUAAAGCUAGAACCACAUGGCUGAAGCUGCCAAAUUCUGCUGCAUGCUGGGGCUGGAACAUGACCCCCUCAUUCAACUACACCUUCACCACUGUUUUACAUGGUUUUCUUCACUGCUUAACCUUGGCUGUCCUGGAACUUGCUCUGUAGACCAGGCUGGCCUCAAACUCAGAGAUCUGCCAGUCUCUGCCUCUGGAGUGCUGGGAUUAAUGAUGUGUACCAUCACACUCUGCUUUAAGCUUUUUUAAAUUCCUUUUCACAAGUAGGACACUUACUGGGUGGGAUCUUGCCCUGAGGUCACCACUCCCUUUAAUUCAUUUCUGAAUCCGUUUGUCUCCUUGAACACAGGACUUAGCUCCACCCAAGUUCUUGGUGCUCCCUUUCUUCUCAAAUAUUACGUUUUGUAAUUUACCCUGUUCAGCUUGCUCCUUUUCAUUAUAAAUCUUUUUUUUUUUUUUUUUAAGAUUUAUUUAUUUAUUAGGUAUACAGCCGGUAUGACUGCAGGCCAGAAGAGGGCACCAGAUCUCGUUACAGAUGGUUGUGAACCACCAUGUGGUUGCUGGGAAUUGAACUCAGAACCUCUGGAAGAGCAGCCAGUGCUCUUAACCUCUGAGCCAUCUCUCCAGCCCCUCAUUAUAAAUCUUUACUAAAGUUACCACUAAUAAUCACAUGACAGAGUGUAUACUAGGCUGUUUUGAGAUUUCCUCUGCCAACAGAAUUAAUCUCGAACUCUUCACUUUAGCCUCAGGCAGACUUUUUGGACAAGAACAAAAAACAGCCACUUUUUCACCAAAAUAUCACAAAAACAAUCUCUAGACCACAUACUAACAUUAUUUCCCUCUGAAACCUCUUGAUCCAGGCACCCACACUUCAACUCACACUCAGCACCACUGUCUUCCAUGAUAUUACCCUGCUUAAAGCAUUCUACUACUUUUUUUUUUUUCUUUUUGGUCUUUUCGAGACAGGGUUUCUCUCUGUAGCCCUGGCUGUCCUGGAACUCACAGUGUAGACCAGGCUGGCCUUGAACUCACAGAGAUCCUCCUGCCUCUGCCUCCUGAGUGCUGGGAUUAAAGGAAUGAGCCACCACCACCUGGCCUCUACUGCUUUCUUAACCCAAAGUACCAAAGUCUAAAUUCCUCCAAACAAAAACAUGGUCAGGCCUAUCAUAGCAAUACCCUACUCUUGGUACCAACUUAUGUCUUAGUUAGGGCUUCUAUUGCUGUGAAAAGACACCAUGACCACUGCAACUCUCAUAAAGGAAAACAUUUAAUUGGGUAGCUUACAGUUCACAGGUUCAGUCCAUUAUUAUCAUGGUGGGACAUGGCAGCAUGCAUUGUGCUGGAGAGGUAGCUGAGAGUUCUAUAUCUUGGGCAAACAAGAAGUGGUCUGAGACAUUGGGCAUGGCUUGAGCAUAUAUAAGACCUCAAGCCCUCCUCUACAAUGAUACACUUCCUCCAACAAGGCCAUACCUAUACUAACAAAGCCACACUUCCUAACAGUGCCACUCCCUAUUAGCUUAUGAGGGCAAAUUACAUUCCAAACUACCACAGCCUGUGUCUUUUGAAACCUGAAAUCUGACCCCCAUUGGCAUGCUUCUUCCAACAAGGCCACACACCUCCCAAUCUUUCCCAAAUAUUUAUCAACUGGGGACCAAGUACUCACGCAUACAAGCCUAUGGCCAUGGGGGCGGGGCACUCUCCUUCAAACCACCACAGAGAUAUUGUUCUGAUUUUAGUAACAUCUAGUAGUUGACUUAAAACACAAGAUUUUACAUUUUGCUAAAAAAUGUUUGUUUUCAGCUGGGUGGCAGUGGCACAUGCCUUUAAUCCCAGCACUCGGGAGGCAGAGGCAGGUGGAUCACUGUGAGUUCGAGGCCAGCCUGGUCUACAGAUCGAGAUCCAGGACAGGAACCAAAACUACACAGAGAAACCCUGUCUCGAAAAACAGAAACAAAAACAAAAGUUUGUUUUCUGUGGUUUAUGUUUCAGUAUUUUGACCCCUUAGAACAUUAUCCUCAAUUCCAUAUUCACUUAAAAGUAUCUAUUUAUGGGGCUGGAGAGAUGGCUCAGUGGUUAAGAGCACUGACUACUCUUCCAGAGGUCCUGAGUUCAAUUCCCAGCAUCCACAUGGUGGCUCACAACCACCUAUAAUGAGAUCUGGUGCCCUCUUCAGGCCUGCAAGGACACAUGCAGACAGAACACUGUAUAUUUAAUAAAUAAAAAUAAAUCUUAAAAAGAAAAAAGCUCGCCGGGCGGUGGUGGCGCACGCCUUUAAUCCCAGCACUCGGGAGGCAGAGCCAGGCGGAUCUCUGUGAGUUCGAGGCCAGCCUGGUCUCCAAAGCGAGUUCCAGGAAAGGCGCAAAGCUACACAGAGAAACCCUGUCUCGAAAAACCAAAAAAAAAAAAAAAAAGAAAGAAAAAAGCUCUUAAAAAAAAAGUAUUAUAUUGAGGCAGAGCCAGGCAGAUCUCUUUGAGUUCGAGGCCAACCUGGUCUCCAAAGCGAGUUCCAGAAAGGCGCAAAGCUACACAGAGAAACCCUGUCUCCAAAAAAUAUUAAAGUCUUAAAAUUUUUUACAUUUAUUUUGUGUGUGGGCAUAUAUAUGUACGUGGGGGGUAGAGGGCAGGGCUCAUGUGCUACCUUGCACAUGUAGAGGUCAGAUAACUUGUAGGAAUCAUCGGUUCUCUCCUUCUAUCAUGUGGGUCCUGAGAAUCAAACUCACUGUCAGCAGGCUUGGCAGCAGACAGCUUUACCUGUUGAGUCAGCUCACCAGCUGUUAGUCUUUUAAAUGGUCACUUUAUAAGAAGUAUUGUUUGUUAGGUCAUAGAUCUGCUGCUUUAAGUCAUGGUCAUUCUCAGAGACCAGACGUGGCAGGCUGGUAGCAAUCAGGUAGUGUCCUGGGAAUAAAGGACUAACAGGUGCCUGCAGGGAGACUAAGCCUAACCCCUCCCUUACAACUGCAAGGUAAGUUUAUGGUCCUAAUGCCUUCCUCCAUGCCCCUUGGCACAUAAGCAAGGCCAGGCUAAGUCAUGUGGUGUGGAACUCAUUACUACCUUGAAGAGCUGGAAGAGUCAGCAACCUGUGUUUGCUGGAUUUGAAUGUUCUUUCCAUCAGGUCCCUGCUAGGCUACACAUGGCAGCUCUCUCUAUUGCAGUUUCUCUGCCCUGAAGGUCUGCUCUCACCCUUCAAACGCCAUCUCCUAAUAAAGCUCUCAUGGAGGGUGAUCUCAUGCCAUCUUUCUGCCUUACCUGCCACUCGGUUCUUUUUAUUUUUUUUUUUAAAGAUUUAUUUUAUUUAUUAUGUAUACAGUGUUCUGCCUGCAUGUGUCUUUGCAGGCCAGAAGAGGGCACCAGAUCUAACUGCAGGUGGUUGUGAGCCACCAUGUGGUUGCUGGGAAUUGAACUCAGGACCUCUGGAAGAGCAGUCAGUGCUCUUAACCACUGAGCCAUCUCUCCAGCCCUCUUUUUAUUUCUAACAUCUGUUGUUGAUCCCAAGCACCCGAAAGGUACACAAACACUGCCCUGUGACUGCCUUCUCUUUCCCACUCCAGAUGAACACCAGGUUCCAUCUGUUAGUCUCCAUGUUUUGGUCAUGCUACUGGGUUCUGAUGGUCCCUUCUCUCCUCCAUUGGCCUGUGAGCCUGGUUCACUCGGCACCAGGUGUUGUGUAUCCUCUGCCAGCCUCCAAGCCUGACUCUCUCCCACACUGUCUGUUAUGCUCUGCCUUGUCAGCCUCUGGCCCCUCUCCCUGAUCCUCUUCCGUCUAUUGCCCUCCUCCACCAGUGGACAAGGUCUGCGGCAGCCUGGUGGUGAAGUCAGUUUUUCCCUCCUCUGCUGAGCUCACCCACUGACAGCAUGAACAUUGUCAAAAUCCAAAGUUGGGUCUGAAGACUCCAUCAAGGUAUUUUCUCAGACCAGUUGGUUCUUCAGGACAAUGACCUGCCAGUCAUGGCCAUAGGGAAAAGUCAAGUCAUUAGAACCAUCUGCAUCUUUCUUCCUUUGACCAGACUCCCCCACUCAACUCCUUGUCUCUGGCCCCUUCCCUAACUCCUAAAAACAGGGCAGCUCAAGUGGGCCCCACAAUCUGAAAGUUCCUUUCACUCCUUCCAUAAAGAUAAACUCUUUGCCAUCCUUCUCAAAGCUCAGCACACUUUCUGAUGGCCGCUCAGCUCUGCUCUCUUCUCUCAUUCCCCCUUUUGGCUGGCUUUUGUGAAAGAAACACGAUGGAUCCUUUUCAAUACAAGAGUGCCUGAGAUAGACUUCAGGUAAGCAAGAGGCACUGGGUCCCCUGCCCCAAAGUUGGCACCUGCUUGUCUGCCUUUCCGUUACCCUUCAUUCAAACAAAAAGUUUAUCUCCAGAGGAGAAAAUGCAGGCUGUACACUAUGUAGCUAAGCAUGGGGAAGGGUGGAUAAAACUUGUGUGAUGUGUGCAAAGUCUGUAUUUCCCUCUGUAUUCAGCCAAUGGUGAAGAGCAGGGUGGGGCCUGCUGAUUAAAGCCACAAGAAUGACUUCCACUGGGCAUGGUGACCCAUGUCUCAGUAUUCAGCAGAGGCAGGUGGAUCUCUGUGAGUUCCAUGCCACCCUAGUUUAUUUACAUAUUUACAGCCAGGACUGUAUAGUGAGACCUUGUCUCAAAAACACAGAAAAACAACACAACACAAAACACCCGACAAUGACGACAAAAGCCUGUUUCAUGACUAACCAGAGCACCUGCCCUCUCGGCCCCUGCCCUUGCAGCUCAUAAAAGUUACUGUCUUGGUUUGGCCAUUCUGAGUCUCUGGGACCAGUUUUUAUGAAUUUGGGGUCCCACUCCUCACAAUCUGGGGGCUUCUCUGGCACAUCUGUGCUUAGAGAAAAAUCCUUUUGUCUCCAGAGAGUGGGAGGAGUCCUGUCUCACUUGAGAGCCGUCAGCUCUGCCAGAUCUUUGCCUCUGGUGUGAAACCCAUGUAGGGAGACUUGAAGAGUGCUUUGUCAGAAAGGGACAUCUGAAUCAGCCACCUAAGUGCGCAGGAAAGGCAGGAAAAGUUGAACCUAGCACUGGCUUGGACAUUUUGGGAGGGUGAAAGUUUGUGAUUACUAAGACAACUAACUGCUCAAUGGUACUCACUACUAGGUAAAAGAGAUCUUGGAAACAAGGACCCUGUUCUCAUGGGAUGUACAAAUACAUCAUGUACUGCAAAGUUCCAUAAAAAAAAAUAGACAAAUACAUCGUCUACUGUAAACGCCCAUAGAAGAACAGUGCAGGUCACUGUGAGAGUGAAUAAAAGGGCCUCUCGAGGGAGGCAAUACUUGCGCUGACUUCUCAGAAAUAAAGCUACAGCAUUACAGAGGCAAGCCUGGAGUAUACAGUGAAUGCCAGUAUGGCCGAGGCACUGUGACUGUGGACUUGUGUAAAAGGUAAGCUUAGAGAGGGAAGUCAGACAGACUCCACAGGACAAAACUGAUCAGUGCUAUGGAAUAAUCCUCUUGUACACCGUCAAGAUUUGUCACUUAAAUUGGUUAAAUAAAAUGCUGAUUGGCCAAUAGCCAAGCAAGAAGUACAGAUGGGGUGACCCAACUAAGAAUGUUGGGAAGAUGAAGGGUGGAGUCAGGAGUCACCAGCCAGAUGCAGAGGAAGCAAGAUGAGAAUGCCAUACUGAGAAAGGAUACCAAGCCAUGUGGUUAAACAUAGAUAAGAAUUAUGGGUUAAUUUAAGUGUAAAAGCUAGUUAGUAAUAAGCCUGAGCUACCAGUCCAGCAUUUAUAAUUUAUAUUAAGCCUCUGAGUGAUCGUUUGAGGGUGGCUGCAGGACACAGGAAAACUUCCACUUACAGAUCAGCUCUUCAAUUACCAGACUAAAUGCUGAUCCAGAAAGAGAAAGCAGGGGAGACGAGUCAAGGGCUUGAACCACUGCAUUACAAUGGCAACAGAGACGUCAAGUGACAAUUUAGUGACAAGACUUGGGAAUCACCUCAUCAAAAGUAGUAAUUAGGAAAGCAGAGGAUACAGAGAAGACUCCCUAAUUUUAAGCAGAUAAAGGAAAAUCAAAAAACAAAAAACUAGUGACUAGGCCAACAAAAAGUUCUUGGGGGGUGGUGGUGGACAAUUGUCAUGGUUGGAGAAGUACCAAAUGUCCACUGACUUAGCAAUAGGGUUCACUGAUGACCUUAGUAGGAAUAAAUAACUUCAGUGAAAUAAAAAGGUAAAUCUCAGAUUGCUAUAAAUGAGGAAUGACUGGAAAGUGAAAUAGUUUGGCUACAAUGGAAAGAGAAAGCAGGAAACAGUUAAGAUGGAUUCAAGAAAGAAUAUUAACAUAGGAGAAACAUGAACAUAUUCGUAUACUAAAAGUGGGAGACACCCAAGAUAAAAGAGGGGACAAUGGAUUGAGGAGAUGUCACAGUAAGUAAGGUACUUACUGUGCAAGCAUGAGGACUUCAGUUUGAUUCCCUAAGAGCAAUAAAAGCUAGGUGCAGUGGAUUCCGAAAAGGUCAGUGAUAAGCUGUUUGUCUUAACAAGGCCAAUUACACGAUGGCAGGCUAAGAUCAGAAAGAAGAGCUGCUUGUACCCAGCUGCCCUGUUCUCAUGGGAUGUACAAACAAAUACCAUGUGGAGGUAAGAAGAGUACCAUACACAUUUUAGGAGAACAUCCCUGCUCUUAAUUGAUGCACAGAAUUGCAGUCUUGGGGUCCAUGUGGAAAUGCUUCUACAAAAUUCAGAGCCAAGCAGAGGAUGACUACCAGCAAGCUCUAAGAUAUGUCUUUGACCAACAGUUAAGACACAUCUUUCUAUAAGUAGAAUGGGGAUAGUCAAUACGGGUUGAAAGAGUAUGAAAUCUUUCUAUAUUUUCUUAUGACAUCGCCAUUUACAAAUGACUUCCCUCCUAAAGGUUACAGAAUAAUUUCUGUAUCAUUAAGUAGGGAUCUGUAUCAUUUAAGCUCUAGCACCUUCUUUACACCCCAUAAUCUCUUACGGGUGUCAUGUUCAUUAAAUUUGUCUGUCAUAUUCUGCCAAGGAGAAAGAUAACUCAAGUCCCUUUGGAUUCACCCAAACUAACCUACAAACGGUAGGAAACCAUGCUUACAUAUCCAACAUAAGGUCACGCAUAGAGCUAAAGUCCAAAUUAUCUUACUUCUAAAUCCUUUUUUAAACUUCACCUCUAAGUCCCUGACAACUUAAAAAGGAUCCUUAGUAAAAGUUUAGCACACGGAACCAUCCCCUCAUUUCUAAGGUUCCUCAGUGCCUUUUUGUUCACUGAGAAGAUACACAAUCCAGUUUCAAAACUCACAUCUAACUUCCCUUUAUAGAAAUUAUAAGUAUUUCCUCCCUAUUAAAUUACAGCAGAAGCCGGGCGGUGGUGGCGCACGCCUUUAAUCCCAGCACUCGGGAGGCAGAGCCAGGCAGAUCUCUGUGAGUUCGAGGCCAGCCUGGGCUACCAAGUGAGUUCCAGGAAAGGCGCAAAGCUACACAGAGAAACCCUGUCUCGAAAAACCAAAAAAAAAAAAAAAAAAAUUACAGCAGAAAUAUACCUUAUGGAGCAAAUAGAUGAGAAAUAAUAGUUCCACAAUUGCUCACUCAGGAGUUUACUUGCAUAAUACUUGGUUAUAUUCUUUUGCAUUUUUUUCUACUUCUAUCAUGUGGCCUUCCAUUUAGUGAUGAAAAUGAAGGAAAUCUGAAUCUUUUUUUUUUUUCUUCCUGUCAACUACUGAGUGAAGUUCCCAAGAUACACUUCAUCUACAACAAGGAAUACCACACAAGUCUGACAGGACUUGUCAACUUAAUUUCAAACAUCUUUCAAAAUCAUUUUACAAGUUAAGAGAUAACCAGGUUUUCUCCCCUCCUCUUUCUCCAGCUCUCCUCUCAACACAUACAUGGAACCACAUACUUCUUUCCUGAAGCUACCAGGGAGCAAUACUACUGCAGGCAUUAGCAUUUUCAGCAAUGAUCUGUCAACCACACUUGCACAAUCUGGUGGUCUUGGCAAUGGAGGGAAAAGUGUCAUUUACGGGUUGGGGAUUUAGAUCAGUGGUAAAAGCGCUUGCCUAGCAAGCACAAGGCCCUGGGUUUGGUACUCAGCUCCAGAAAGGAAAACAAAAAAAGUGUCAUUUACUCUUUUUUUGGUUUGCUUUUUUGAGACAGAUUUUCUGUGUAGCCCUGGCUGUCCUGGAGCAUGCUCUGUAGACCAGGCUGGCCUCAAACUCUAAGAUCCGUCUGCCUCUGCCUCCCGAGUGAUGUAAUUAAAGGCAUGCACCACCACCACCCAGUGUCAUUUACUCUUCUAAGGUAACCUGGGUUUAAAUUACUUGUGAGUAUUAGAAGGCCAAAGGAAAAAGGAAGUAUUCCCUUGUUUUCCCCAUUGUUGGUUCUCAGCAAAGGGAGUAAGUCUAAGAACCAAAAGUAAUAAAGGUCUAGUGGUGUAGGCUUCUAUCACUAACUACAUGGGAGCAGACACAAUGAAAGCACAAGGCCCGUCUGGGCUACAGAGUAAGUUCAAGGCUAGCUUGAGCAACUUAAUGUUAAAAGUAAAAAGGUGGUUGAGACCAUAACAGUGGUGGAUGUACAAUCUCCACUAUUUGAGAGAGGGCAAAGGAAGGAUGUCUUUUGGUUAUAGUUUCUUAAUGAAAACAGGACAGACAAGUGGGGUGGUAUAAGCCUGAUAUCCAGGCAGGAGGAUCCAAGGUUAAAGGAGAACAGGUAAGCCUGUGCUAAACAGGUCAUCUUAAAAAACAAAACAAAACAAAACAAAAUAGACAUGUAAAAUCAUCAAGAACUACUUCUUCUACACCCCAUUCCAAACAAACACAUACCCUAUUUCUCAGCAGUGAUAACAGGUUAACACCACCAAUCAAGUCAUUCUUCCAGCUUAGUUCUUUGUGUUAUAGAUAACAAGUAAAGUAUUAGUAACAGCUUUGGCCCAGGUUAAACGUGGCUCCCAGUUAUUGGCUAAUUUUCCUCAAUAUUUCCAGUAUUCAUUCUCAGAAUUUACCUUUACUUGGUUACCAUGUGAAAUCACACCAAUACAAAUGAUGGGAUGGGCUGAGAGUUGGGAUGAGGAAUCUGAGCACAGACACAUAUGGAAAAAAAUUAGAUGUAAUAAAAUUAGCCACAUUUACCACAAUUUUAGAAGACAAAAAAAAAAAAAAAGAAAGAAAGAAAAGAAAAAGACCAUGCUCAAACAUCAUGAAAUCAAGUUAUUUCUGUAACUUACCAUCAAUAACUCUGGUAAAUUUUAAUGAGCAUGUAAGUGGGAGGUUCAGGUCCUUAAAAUAUAUUGUUUCGACAAACACAUUAUUGAGGGAGAGCACAUGUCUUCUCAGUGCACAUCCUAUGCCGCACAGUAGUGGGUGGAUCCAGGCCAAGAGAAUACUCCAAUUUCAAAGACACCAAUGUUCAUUCUUCUAUAAAUACCACUUGGCAAAUCCCUACUCAAACAAAGUAAUGGUGUGGUUUGACUUAAAGGAACAGAUUUGAAAGGUGCAGUACUCAAAGACCUAACACAAAGCAACAUUCUACACACAUGAAGCUAAUUCACAUGUGAAACUUUAUUGGACCUGGUCUUAAGGUUAUAUGGGGCUUCGACAACUUAAAAUUUCCACAAUUUGCAAUUUUCAAAAUUCAUCCCAAAUUGUUGUUUUCUCCUGCAAGUAGACUUUCCUAACUUUCUGAAAGGUAGGCUUUCUUAAUUUCCUCCCUUUUCCUACUUUAUUGGCUGACACACAGAGGUACUACAGAAUUAAAUCACUGACAAAUAGUUUCUUUUUUUCUUUUUCUUUUCUUUUCUUUUUUUUUUGAGACAGGUUUUCCCUAUCAUGCUGCUCUGGCUGUCCUGGAACAUGCUAUGUAAACCAGCCAGCCUCUGUCUCCCAGAGUGUCAGGAUUAAAGGUGUGUGCCAUCACACCCAGCUGACAAGCAGUGUCUUCACAUGAACUGCAUCCAGCAAAGUAAGAAAACUGACGUUUCCUGGACUCCUGUGGAGAACAAAAGCAGAGACGGAAGGGAAGCACUAGUGAACUCGGGCUAAUCUUAAGGGUCUGGCCGUAUCUGGCUCAUUUUUAUCACGGACAACCACAGACUUAAUGUUCGCCUUCCAGUUCUUUGAAGUGUGACAUGCAGUAAUUCAUAUCUCACUGAGGCACAAGUCAAGAGUCAGAAAGGCCACGCUGGUUUAGAGCAGCUUAGUGAGGGAGCCACGUCUCUCCAUCUCCACAUUCCACGUGGCUUCUGAAGGAACACAGAAGUGAAAUAACAUUUUUGAGAAGAUGAUGACACCUCUUCUCCCUAACUAGGGACUAUUAGGUAACUAUUGCCACCCUGUACUUCUGAAUAUGGGGAUUGCAUACAGUUCUAAUGACAAGAACUGCCCUGUCAAGAAUUAUCUAAGACUUAACUACUGCUACUAUUUUUUGAGACAGGGUCUUACUAUGUAGCCCUGGCUAAUGAGGAACUUGUUAUGUAGACGAGGCUGGCCAUGAACUCCUGCCUCUGCCUCCCAAGUGCUGGGAUUAGUGUGUAUAUCACCAUACUCCACAGACUUCAACUUUUUUUCAUUCUGUUACCUUUGUCAAAAUAUCUAUAAUGAAGGCAGUGAGAAAUAGUUUCAAAAAAAUAUUAAAUGUUUAAGUCAAAACACUAAUAAUGAAGAACUGCAACUCUGAGGAGACAGAAAGAGAAACAUUAUAAAUCAAGUUUUAAUACAAAAUGUAAACAAACAAUACAGAAGAAUGGAGUUAGUUGUAAUUUUCAUGAAACAAUGUUUUACAUUAGAACAUCUACUUUUCCUUAAAUAGAUGACUCUUAUUUCACUUAACUCACAAAUUAUAGGUUUUUUUUUUUUUUUUUUAAUUUGUGGGGUGGGUAGAGUGCUAGUUUCUCUCUCAUAUCCUUAGAAGAAUAUUUUAUAAUUUAAUUACUUCUAUUUUAUGUGUUUGAAUAUUUUCCUGAAUAUAUGUCUGUGCACACGUGUGCAGUGCUCUUGGAGGUCAGAAGAGGACGUAGGAUCCCCUGGAACUAUAGUUACUGAUGGUGUGGGCCACCAUGUAGUGUUGAGAAUUGAACCUGGGUCCUCUGGAAGAACAGUCAGUGCUCUUAACUGUUGAAACAUCUUCCCAGACCCUCUCUUAUAUUCUUUUGAGUUUUGGCAUAAAUCUAUGGUUAAGACAAACCAAAUUUCUCAAAUAAGUACAGAAAGAGUCAAAUGAAUCAAUUAAAUUAUAUAUUUAAAGUUUCAAAAUGUCAGAAGAUGACAGGCAGCUAGUCACAGGUACAGACUGCCUAUUUCUGAGGUCUCCAAUGACAAACACUGUACAAAGUACACAAAUUAUUCCCUCAACAGUCACCUUUCAGCAUCCUCAUGGCUCUGUUCUGGUAACAGUUAAUGGAAAAUAGUUAAUUGGAAGGAAAAUCAAAUUUUUUAAUGCAUUCUGGGAUUCCAUCACUUAUAUUUUAAAUUUCCGAAGGGUGGGAGUACACUCAAUUUUUAAACCACAGGUAUUUCAAGUCUUUUACAAAGACAAAAAGGUAAAAAAAAAAAAAUUGUGCUUUUUUUUUUGUUAUAACAUCAACCAAAUAAAAUUCUUAAAUGAUAAUCUUCAUAGUUUGGUAAAACAAAAUAUAUGAAAUUAACUAAUUAUUUAAUUAAUUAGUAACCGC